rnacentral:rRNA from 1 species
GAUGAACGCUAGCGGAAGGCAUAAUACAUGCAUGUCGAACGGAUGUAGCAAUACAUUAGUGGCGCACGGGUGCGUAACGCGUAUGCAACCUACCUUCAUCAGGGGGAUAACUACUCGAAAGGGUGGCUAACACCGCAUAAUACUACUGAAUGGCAUCAUUUGGUAUUUAAAUCUGAGGAGGAUGAAGAUGGGCAUGCGUCUGAUUAGCUAGUUGGUGUGGUAACGGCGCACCAAGGCGACGAUCAGUAGGGGAACUGAGAGGUUGGUCCCCCACACUGGCACUGAGAUACGGGCCAGACUCCUACGGGAGGCAGCAGUAGGGAAUAUUGGUCAAUGGUGGGAACACUGAACCAGCCAUUCCGCGUGCAGGAAGAAGGGUCUCUGACUUGUAAACUGCUUUAGCAAGGGAAGAAAAAGCUCAUGCGUGAGAAAUUGACGGUACCUUGAGAAUAAGCACCGGCUAACUACGUGCCAGCCGCCGCGGUAA